rnacentral:sRNA from 1 species
GACACUAGGGGAUGCUGUGAAUUCCAUGCUCCAAGGUUUAAGCUGAGGGCAGUGGGGAGGAAGGGUGGAGAGGUACCUGUAUCCACCUGGCCUGUUCACUACUUAAUUUUCUUUUGCACCAUGCACCAGAGGAUCAUCUCUAAAGGCAAACAGGCUCUCUAGUAAGGUCAGUAGCUUGGGAUGGGAGUCCGAGGCAGCCCAGCCUUUGGGGAGGGACCUCUGGCCUGAUUGUUCUCAGUGAUUCAGGGAGGGAAGUGAGCCUGCCUCACUGGGCCUUUUCCCUCCUAUAUCUCCCUAGGCUUCCUCCCAGGUUCUUAUCUUGCUUUGGCAGUCCCAACUUUUAGUUGAUGAGGGAGGCAUAGAAGGACAGGAAUCAGGCUGGGUGCAGUGGCUCACACCUGUAAUCCUAGCACUUUGGGAGGCCGAGAGGGGAGGACUGCUUAAGCCCAGGAGUUUGAGACCAACCUGGGAAACAAAGUGAGACCCUGUCUCUACAAAAAAAAAAUCAAAAA